rnacentral:rRNA from 1 species
CAGUGGGGAAUAUUGGACAAUGGGGGCAACCCUGAUCCAGCCAUGCCGCGUGAGUGAUGAAGGCCUUCGGGUUGUAAAGCUCUUUUGGCGGGGACGAUGAUGACGGUACCCGCAGAAUAAGCCCCGGCUAACUUCGUGCCAGCAGCCGCGGUAAGACGAAGGGGGCAAGCGUUGUUCGGAAUUACUGGGCGUAAAGCGCGUGUAGGUGGUCAUUCUAGUCAGGCGUGAAAGCCUCGAGCUCAACUCGAGAAAUGCGCUUGAUACUGGAUGACUAGAGGACCGGAGAGGAUAGUGGAAUUCCCAGUGUAGUGGUGAAAUACGUAGAGAUUGGGAAGAACACCAGUGGCGAAGGCGGCUAUCUGGACGGUUUCUGACACUAAGACGCGAAAGCGUGGGGAGCAAACAGGAUUAGA